CUGGAGAACAACGAGAAGAGUCCUGCUUCAGCUGUGCCAAAGAAUGGGUUCUUUUUCUUAUGGCAGCCACAUGCAGCCACAGCGGUGGUGUUGAAAUGGGAAAGGUUCCCCCGUCCCCCUUGCAGGGCGUGCGAUGGGGUGUGCUCGCCUCUUCAGUGCCCCGUUGGUCAUACCUCUAGUGGGGCAUAGAGAUGGGCAGGUUGUGGGGCUCCAACCCCAUGGCAGUGUCUAAGGGUGGAUGUUUACAGCUGAAGCCCCAGAGGGCGUGUGUUCCAGGGUGCGCUCUUAGUUCACGGUCUAUAGCUCAGUUAGACCCUCUACCUUGUCAUAAGGCCAGAGGGCUUUCUGUAUCCCGGGUUCUUGCCUUGGUGUACCGGAAGAAUCGGAUCACACGUGGGCUUGGAGAAUGACUGCAAAAUCGUAUUGAGUGGAAGUAACUCUCCACCGACAGGAGAGUCAGAAAGGAGAUGGUUUUCCCCCGGAGUUGGGCAGCUCCAGAAGGGAGAUGGCUUUCCCCUGGAGUUGGGCCGCUGGGUGCCCGGGCUGUCCUCCUACUGCCCAGGACAAACUCCACCUCGUCCCACCGGUCGAUGGCCUGCCGGGGAGCCCGCGGGCGAGCCGGCGUCUGUAGGUGUGUUCUUCUGCUGACAUGCUCUCCGUGACCAGCCGCUUCUGUCUUCUUCCACUGAUGCGUUCCUCUCGCCCUCCAGCAGCUUCUGUCUCUGCCUUGCUAGGGUCGUGGGUGUUUAUAGGCCCAGGCUGGGGGCGUGGCGGGCCAGGGUGCUCUUGGAAAAGCAGGAGUGCCUGUCCUCGCCUAGGUCCCUGGGGCUAGAGGCCUAGUCACGGACUCUGCCCUUUCUACCCCGCGCUUUCCUUCCCGGCUUCCGUAUCAUUUAAAGGGACCGUGCUCUUCCUUUCCCAGCACUCCGGCUUGAGUGUUAAAUGGCCAGCAGGAAUUAUCCACUAGAGAAGCGGAAGGGAGAGAAUGGAAAUGGCCGCAUGCAGCUCCUCUCCCUCAGACAGCUCGGGGCUCAGCGGAAUGAGCACAGUCUGCAGGACAAGUGCGGAGGACUUCAGUCCCCUCUACUGUAUAUUGGCUUUAGGACUCAAGUUGUCCCUGAAAUAGAGGAAGGUGUUUUCUAGGGUAGUGGUAAUUAUCACAGUCAAAAAAGUAGGCGAGAGCACUUAGGAAAACUGUGCGGAGAUCGGCUGCUGAUGUGUAAAUACUGCUGAAGCUGCUUAUUCAAGAUUAGAAAACCUGAGACCCAGACGGGGGAAACUGCUUUCCAUGGUUAAUCGUCAACAACUGGCCAGGAUGGGACAGAAGCCCAUACAUAGCCUUCAUUCCAGGGCUCAGAACAAAAAGAAGGCAGUGGCCUGGGCUGCACCUGAGCUUGGCUUCACAUAGGAGGGAUUCUGGAACGCAGGAUCCUGACAACGACCUCAAGCCCCUGUAAAGCAACACAUUUUUUGGCAAGAAUCCCUGGGACAGAGAAAGAAUUUCUUCUCACUUAUUAUUGAGAAUGUUCUCAUGUCUUGCAAGGCUCACUGCCCAGUAGAAGCUGAAAAGAUUCAGUAUGAGUAAAAGAAGAGAUCUGAAAUUUGCAGCUUGUCAUAGAAAGGAUCCCAGUGGAUUUGUUACGGUGAGAAAGCUUCACUUGGAGACAAAGCCAAAACCUUCCUCCCAGGCUCCCUUGGAUGUAGGGGGAAGCAAACUGGCUGUCCAGGCCUCUGAGCCACAUCUACACACCUCAUGAGAGGGCCUGUGCAACAUUGCCUUAGAGAUGGAGAGCAUUGCUUCAGAAUCAGGGAAGCCUAAAUUUCACCCCUGGGGCUGCCCCUUGUGAUCUUGAAUGGCUCCUGACAAGAGGCUGCUGGGGAGGCUCCUGCUCCCUGCCUUUCGGGACUGCCGUGGAUUGCCCAUUGAUGGGUCAAAAUCCAGCUACCUGGUAAUUCAAUGAGUCCCUAGUGUGCAUCCAAUAAAUUAUCUUCUGUUUAAAUUAGAACAAACUGUUUUUAAUCUGUGUGCUAAGAAUCUCAUUAAAUGCAUCAUAAAUUUCAAAAUCAAAAACUAAAUAAAACAUUUAUCUAUCGAGUACUAAAAUUUGCCUGGGUCCUCUUAAGUGUAUGUGGAAUCCAUGCUUUCAAAACUCGAUAACUUUUCUUCUCCAAUAAUCCGUACAGCAAUUAUUCCCCCGCAAAGUUAAUUAACAUCCUGUGAUCAUAUUUUUGGUGAGUGCUCCAUAGGUUCACGGACUGAAGAAAUAGAUGUACUUGAAAAGAUGUCAGUGAAGAUAAAAAAGGCAGGGGAGAAAUUUUGUACCAAAAUACAGACAUACUGGCUAAUUACAUUUUUUUAAACUUUACAAAAAAAAGAAGUAAGACUUUUAGCUCAACACUCCACACACAAUUCCCACCAUCAACUGCACAGCACAUGAAACAGAGUAUUUUAAACAUACACCAAAAUCUAGAUAUUUCAAUUCAUUUAUAUACUGUCUCUCUCAACUCUCUAAAUUUACCUGCCCACUAAAGCUGGAUUCUCAUAUUCCCUCAUCUAGUGUUGUCCCUUAGCCGUGGUGUCCUAGGCCACUUUAGCAAAAUAAUAUAAGCAGAAAUGGCAUGUAUCACCUUGAAGCAGAAUGCUUCAAAUACAGCUUUAUCUUCUCUAGUUAAUCAUUCUCUUUCUCCGGGCUUGACUCAGACAAACAUGGUCACUGUGGAAGCCACGUGUAGAAGGUUGUGGAAUCACAAAACACAAAGGGCUCAGUUUCUCAUGACCACUUAGAGGAGGGCCAUAUGUGAUCAAGAACAAUUGCUUUGUUAUUAGAAGUCAUACACAUAAAAGAAAUAAACUUCUAUCAAGUUUGAGCUAUUCUGUAUCUUUGGAUUUGUUUGUUACAGCAGUCAGCAUUACCUUAAGUGAGAGAGAGAGAAUGCUGCACUGCAGACGUUUGCAUAGUUUGUGUGACAUAGGCCUGAAGAUAUACAUUUCUUUCGUUCACUCAAUAAAUAGUUAUAAAAAUUCUACUCUAUGCUAGAUAGUCUGCAAAAGCUGUUGAUAAAAUGUAGUUUAUCAUUUUUGGAGCAUAUCAUGUAUUAAUCUUCUUGGUUUCAGAGUCACCUUAUAAUCUUAAAAUUUAUUGAUGACCCUGAAGGUCUUUUGUUUCUGUGUAUUAUAUGUGUAUUUGCAUUUACUAUAUUAAUCAUUGAAACUAAACUUUUAAAAAAU
rnacentral:lncRNA from 1 species